rnacentral:rRNA from 1 species
UACGUAGGGUGCAAGCGUUGUCCGGAAUUAUUGGGCGUAAAGAGCUCGUAGGCGGUUUGUCGCGUCUGCUGUGAAAACUCGGGGCUCAACUCCGAGCUUGCAGUGGGUACGGGCAGACUAGAGUGCGGUAGGGGAGACUGGAAUUCCUGGUGUAGCGGUGAAAUGCGUAGAUAUCUGGAGGAACACCGGUGGCGAAGGCGGCAUCCUGGACCAACACUGACACUGAGGAGCGAAAGCCAGGGGAGCAAACGGG